ACCGUGGAGACCGCAGAGGAGCAGGACCACUGAAAGGUUCCCCAUUGCAAAGGUUGAGCUUGGCAAACGAGGAAAGAGGAAAAGGAUGAACUACAAUCGUAAGCAUGCAUAUAACACACAAGGCAGAAACAUGCUUCAAGAAACAACCAGCAGGAGGAGCCAAAGUGUCAGUGGUAGCAGCAUUGAAAAAAGUUCAGCUGUGUGAGGGGCCAAACAAGGUCGCAGGAGAGACUUUGAUGACAGUUUGACUGAUGUGGGGGCAGCGUAUGCAAAACAGGGACGCUCCAUCCAGUGGGCCUGUCAAGCUGACACGCCAGACCGCAACGGACUGGAAAACAUUGCAAGACAACCAAAAACAACCGGAUGACGAUUGUGAUAGCGGAGAAGUUGGUCAGGUGGCCACUGGUGAGGCCGCUUAAAACAAAUGUCCACAAACACCAGGUCCGCGCACCGGUACCGGGCCGCACAAGGACAGACCAGCGAGCUGUGAGCAAAUUGACUCCAUCAGACGUGGCGGAAAUCUGCGCGAGUCGAGCCAAUCGGAGUCCCCCUUCUAAGAUUGCUUUCCAAGUUUAAACUAACAGAAUCCGCUAAUAAAUGAAAGAAGACGCUGUAAACGGAAAGUCACAAAUUGACCAAACGUACAGCUAAUCAAUCGGAUGAAAGCAACAAUCAAUCGUGUCGUCUUUUGAUCAGUCACAUUUGCUAGUAGCAAUGAUGCUAACGCCGUAUGUAGGAUCAUAACUUUAAAAAUUAUUACGUUUACAUUAUUAGGCGUA